UACGUAGGGGGCAAGCGUUAUCCGGAAUUACUGGGUGUAAAGGGUGAGUAGGCGGCAUGGUAAGCCAGAUGUGAAAGCCUUGGGCUUAACCCGAGGAUUGCAUUUGGAACUAUCAAGCUAGAGUACAGGAGAGGAAAGCGGAAUUCCUAGUGUAGCGGUGAAAUGCGUAGAUAUUAGGAAGAACACCAGUGGCGAAGGCGGCUUACCAAGCUACUUCUGACGUUGAGGCACGAAAGCGUGGGGAGCAAACAGG
rnacentral:rRNA from 1 species